AGCAGCUUACUGCUUUGCUGACGAGUGGCGGACGGGUGAGUAAUGUCUGGGAAACUGCCUGAUGGAGGGGGAUAACUACUGGAAACGGUAGCUAAUACCGCAUAACGUCGCAAGACCAAAGAGGGGGACCUUCGGGCCUCUUGCCAUCGGAUGUGCCCAGAUGGGAUUAGCUAGUAGGUGGGGUAAAGGCUCACCUAGGCGACGAUCCCUAGCUGGUCUGAGAGGAUGACCAGCCACACUGGAACUGAGACACGGUCCAGACUCCUACGGGAGGCAGCAGUGGGGAAUAUUGCACAAUGGGCGCAAGCCUGAUGCAGCCAUGCCGCGUGUAUGAAGAAGGCCUUCGGGUUGUAAAGUACUUUCAGCGGGGAGGAAGGGAGUAAAGUUAAUACCUUUGCUCAUUGACGUUACCCGCAGAAGAAGCACCGGCUAACUCCGUGCCAGCAGCCGCGGUAAUACGGAGGGUGCAAGCGUUAAUCGGAAUUACUGGGCGUAAAGCGCACGCAGGCGGUUUGUUAAGUCAGAUGUGAAAUCCCCGGGCUCAACCUGGGAACUGCAUCUGAUACUGGCAAGCUUGAGUCUCGUAGAGGGGGGUAGAAUUCCAGGUGUAGCGGUGAAAUGCGUAGAGAUCUGGAGGAAUAC
rnacentral:rRNA from 1 species